GACGAACGCUGGCGGCGUGCUUAACACAUGCAAGUCGAACGGAAAGGCGCUGCUCUUGUGGGGUGCUCGAGUGGCGAACGGGGGAGUAAAACGUGAGUAAACUGCCCUUGACUUUGGGAUAACUUCAGGAAACUGGGGCGAAUAUCGGAUAGGAGCUCCUGCUGCAUGGGGGGGGUUGGAAAGUUUCGGCGGUUGUGGAUGGACUCGCGGCUUAUCAGCUGGUUGGGCGGGUAGGUGAUUACAAAGGCUUUGACGGGUAGCCGGCCUGAGAGGGUGACCGGCCACAUUGGGCCUGAGAUACGGCGCAGACUCCUACGGGAGGCAGCAGUGGGGAAUAUUGCACAGUGGGCGGAAGCCUGAUGCAGCAACGCCGCGUGCGGGAUGACGGCCUUCGGGUUGUAAACCGCUUUCGCCUGUGACGUAGCGUGCGUGACGGUAAUGGGUAAAGAAGCACCGGCUAACUACGUG
rnacentral:rRNA from 1 species